GUUCCCACAAUUCCCCCUCUGAAGAAAUGCUACCUGGUUUCAUCUACAUCCUGUUUUCAGUGGCUUGCAAUAAAUGGACCAGUGACCCCUCGUGCCUGUGGAUGGGGGCAUUGUCAUCCUGGAAGAGGGUCCCUGGAAGAGGGAAAUGUGCAUCUAGUAACCUUGGCUCCCUGGCCUGUGUCACGAUUGAAACUGGGCCCACAAAUCCUCUGAAUCAACAGAUACUCCUGAGCUGACACAAACAGCCCUUAUCUCCCUGGAGCAGCUGUGGUGGAGGAAGGAGAGCAAGAGGAGGAGGAAGGUGAAGGGAACCGCAAAGGGGCGGUCGUGCCUUCUCGUUCGAUCCGGCACAUGGUCGGGUACAGGAAAAUGUGUGUUGGGCUUUGAGAUGAGACCUGUGGGACAGAUCUGCCUAUAAAAGGGCUUUUGUGGUCUGGCUUUACUCCAGUAUCUCUGCGGAGCAUCCAGACCUGGCACCCUACCACUGAAAGAUACAAGGGGCAUAUGGAACCAGCCAGCUCUGCCUAAGGAGACAGAAUCACAGCUUCCAGAUGGAGCCAUUGUACCAUCCGCUUCCCCCACCCAGUCCGUUUCAGUUUAGAUCUGAGAGUUCAGAGCACAGUAAAUGACUCUGAACUCAAAAACUAUUUUACAAAUACUGUUUUUUAAAAUAAAUAUAUGGCUGUCUGACUUUG